UGUGGUUAAAAAGCUCGUAGUUGGAUCUCAACAGCCUUGAAGCGGUUAACUUUGUAGUUUUACUGCUUUAUAGGCUGUGCUUUUGCUGGAGGUUUAGGGGUGCUCUUGAUCGAGUGUCUCUGGAUGCCAGCAGGUUUACUUUGAAAAAAUUAGAGUGCUCAAAGCAGGCUAAAAUGCCUGAAUAUUCGUGCAUGGAAUAAUAGAAUAGGAUGUCGAUCCUAUUUUGUUGGUUUUCGGGACUCGACAUAAUGAUAAAUAGGGACAGUCGGGGGCAUUUGUAUUCAAACGACAGAGGUGAAAUUCUUGGACCGUUUGAAGACGAACUACUGCGAAAGCAUUUGCCAAGAAUGUUUUCAUUAAUCAAGAACGAAAGUUAGAGGUUCGAAGGCGAUUAGAUACCGCCCUAGUUCUAACCAUAAACGAUGCCAGCUAGCGAUCUGCCUGCGUUUUUACUGUA
rnacentral:rRNA from 1 species